AUAAAAAAUAAGACACAAAAGCCAAAAAUAUACUGGGGGAAUCAAUUCCUUUCAAAAUAUAGUUAUUUAGUUUCCUUUUGCCUCCACUGAAAUCUCUCUAGGAGAGACCUGAAAGAUGUCCGAUGUGUCUUUGCCUUUUCCCCUUCUUUGCUAAUGCUUCCCUCCUCGAAGACCUUAUCUAGGAGGGGCUCUGGGCUUCUAGGACUAUCUUUCUUCCACUGUGGGAGAGAUUUGCCUAGGAUGAAGUGAAACCACUUUGGCCUUGAUGGAACAGGUAGCAUAGUGUCUGAGAUAAAUGAUUCUGCACCUUCUGAAGACUUUCUCGCACAGCUAUGGGUGCUUGAGGUGCUGAAAAGGGAAGAGACUGUUGCCUCGGGGCAUUUGAAGACAAAUUUUAUAUCAAUCUCCUCCUCACACAUGGGUAUAGGUAUUGGUACAGCAAGCAAUUGAGCUUCACAUGGAUAUUUCAUUCCUUCAUGUGGGCAGCCAUCUGGGAUCCAGGAGGCACAAAUUAAACAGACUAUGUAUUCACAUGAGUUGUAUUCAUCAAGAGGGAGGGGAACAUCCUUACAAAUGUCAUUUUUUAUUCUCUUCUGAGGGAUGGAAUUGAUGAUGGCAUGAGCAGUUUUAUCAGAGAUGGUUCCCCCCUCGAUGGUGUACGGUUUGAUGUAAUUUAAAUGCAAUUUGGUCUGUUUCUUUUGCACAGAAUGGAGCUGAUGUGGGAGCCCAGAUUCAACCUCGUCUUGGUGGUCGGAGCUCAGCUCAGUCUCAGGCUGGUGGUCACGACCUGUUGGAGCCUCAAUCUGGUGGUUGGAACUUGAUGAUGAUAUGGUCUUGUCAGGGCUUGGAGGCAUUUCUUCCUCAUCAUCCACAUUUCCUGGUGAUGUGCUUGAUGCAUGGGUGGAUUCUGUUCCAGAUUCAGUCUCGUUUUCUGAGAUAGAUGAAAUAGUGAUUGAGGGACUAGCACUAGAUGAAGGUGUAUCAUACUCUCGACCCUCAGACAAUUUUGCUGAGUAUUCUAAAUCUCUUGGAGAUGUAGCCUGACUAUUGAGAUCUUCAGCAACUUCUGACUGUCUGUCAGGAGGACUAGGUGGAUGUAUUGUACACUGGUUAGAGCUAAGUAGAGUCAUUUCCUCAUUGUCUAAGUUCAAUGGUGGUAUUAUCCUUUGAUCCUGGUCUACUAAAAUGAUGUUUUGAAGCUCUGUUCCUGAUGACAUUGUGUCACAUGGGCCAGAUCCUGGUUGAAGGGACACCUGAGAGCUUAGAUCUGGUAUAUCUUCAGUCUGCUGGUCAGGACUGAAUGAAGGUAUGAUUUGAGAUUCAAGGACAAGUUGAGCUGGUUCUUUAGGUUUUAUGUCCACUGGAGGCAUUGUUGCCUCAUUAUCCUGGUCGGUUAGAAAUGUGGCCACUAAAUCUGUUCUCAAUGGUGUUAUUUCUCCAGACUCUUGGUCUGUUUGAACUAUUAAAUCUUGGACAGGGUCAUGUGCUGUAUCUUCAGCCUCUUGCUCUUGGUCCAGAGUGAGGAGUGGUGUGGGCUGAUGGUCAGAUGCAGGUACAGCAUUUUCUUGGUCACUGUUGUCUGGGGAAAGAGGUGUUAUUGCCCAAUGAUCCUCAACUAUUUGAUUUGCUUCUUGGACUUCUAUUCUCAGUGGCAUUAUAUCUAUGAUUUCAAUUGUUUCUUUCUCUAUUCCAUCUGAGAUAUGAUCAUCCACAUCACUAAGGACUGGAGUUUUCUCAGAGUGUGACUCUGUGGUAAAUGUUAAUGUGUUGCAGAGAUUUGUUUCCUCUGAUAGUGUUGCCCAUUCUUCUAAUUUUUGUUUAAGUGUAGCCUGGGCAUCAGGAUUUGAAAUAUCCUCAAUCUGGUGCUUAGGGCUAGGUAAAGGUGUUUUUGCCUCAUCAGGGCUAGAAAAUAUUCUCUCCUGGUUAUCCAAAUCCAGUGGAUGAGCAGUUUCAUGUUUCUCAUCUGUUAAUGUUAUUGCCUGGUGAUUGGAUAGUCCAAGUAGCAUUGCUAAUAUUAUUUCCCAGUACAUUUCUUUUAUUGGAACUGAUUCUUUGACAGUGGGUCCUGAUACAUUGCUAGUGUCCAUUUCUAGGCUGGAUGAAAAUAUAUCCAGAUGAUCUAUUUCUUGUGGUGGUGGUUUCCAUCGUUCUAGUUCUUGAUGAAGAGGGACCAGGGCAUUGGAGUCUGGCGUAUGCUCAGCUCCGGACAUAGGACUGGAUGGAGGUGUGGUCCUUUGGUGAGGGCCAGAUAGAGUUAUAUCCUGGGGACUUGAGUCCAGUGGAAUUAUGUUCUCAUCCUGUCCUGUUACAAAGAUUUCCUCCUGGUCUAUCUCUGGGGAUAUUGUUUCCCAAGUGUCUAGUUCUGUUUGUAUGGAGGCAUGGACAGGAGGCUCUAAGGUCUUGUUAGUUUCCAGGUCAGGACUGGAUGGAAGUGUUUCCUGGAGGUCUGUCUCUGGAGAUGUUGUUUCCCAAUUGUCUACCUCUGUUUGCAUGGAGGUAUGGACAAGAGGCUCCAGGAUCUUGUCAGUCUCCAGGUCAGGACUGGAUGAAAAUGUUUCCUGGAGGUCUGUGUCUGGAGAUAUUGUUUCCAAGGUGUCUAGCUCUGUUUGAAUGGAGACAUGAACAGUAGGCUCUGGGGUGAUGUCAGUUUCCACAUCAGGACUGGAUGAAAAUGUUUCCUGGAGGUCUGUCUCUGGGGAUAUUGUUUCCCAGGUGUUUAGCUCUGUUUGGAUGGAGACAUGGACAAUAGGCUCUGAGAUCAUGUCAACAUCCACUUCAGGACAGGAUGGAAGUUUUUCCUGAAGCUCUAAUCUUUGGGAUAUUGUUACCCAAGUGUCUGGUUCUGUUUGGAUGGAGACAUGGACAGUUGGCUCUGAGGUCACGCCAGUUUUCAGGUCAAGAUUAGAUGGAGUUAAGUCCUGGAUAGCUUUUCCUUGAAAAAUUGCUUCAAAAGGCUCUUUGUCAAUUUUCACUAAUGUGGAAGGCUUCUCUUCAGGACUGCAUGGACGCGAAUCCAGGAGGUAUUUUCUCAGAAGCUUAGUUUCCCAGUUGUCUUGUUCUGUUUGAACUGAGACAUGGGCAAGAGAGCAUGGUCCAUGUAGUUGGCGAUUGUUAUACUUGCAUACUGUUGUAGACCUGUUUUUCCGAUUCAGAUGAGAUGUAGGUACAGCUAGGGGUCUAGGACGGUGCUCAAGGUAUUGUAAAAAGGACAUUGCUUCCUUGAGCUGCAAGUCACUAUGUGAUGUCUUCAGAGCUUGGGUCUGGGCCUGGUGGUUUGGAGAUGGUGAUCUGAAAUUUGGGCCCUUGGUCCAGUUAGUAAAAGGUAAUGAUUUUGCAAGUGGAUGGAGUACAGGGUCCAAGUUAAAAAGUCCUAACAGUGCAUUGGUAGCCUUGAUCCGGCGCCUGGGUCUUGGCAAAACUUUGGUCCCCUGAGUGGGGGGUCUUGCCAGAGGACCACUGGUCUUGAUCUGGGUGUCAGGAACUGGAGUAUCCCUGGAUUUGUGGCCCUUAUAUAAUGGAACCUUAGUCUGGUGGUCAGAGAAGGUUGAAAUUGGGUCCUUUGGGUUAAGAAGUGAUAGAUCCUCAAUACUCAAAUGAUCACAAGCUGGGAAAAUCUUGGGAAGAUGGUCAGAACCUGAAGAAUUCUCCAACCGGUGGUCAGAAUCCGAAGGAAAAUCAUACUGGUGUUUGAGACUGAGAGGAGGUAUAAGGCACUGAUCAAUGGGAAUCAAAGACCCAGAAGUUUUUCUGGUUGGGAUAUCAGUCCUAGGUAAAGGCAAGACUGGAGCCACUGUACGGUGCUUGUGACGAGAAGCUGGUUUAGCCAGGUGAUGAAGACGGGGCAAUGGCGCUGCCACUGCUCUAUAAUUAAGGUGGGGCAUCUUGGGAGCAUUGCCUGAAUGUUUGAGCCAAGAUGUAGGCUCUUGUACAUUCUUGUGGUAGUGACGGUGUGAUGAUUGUGAGGUAUUAGAAGUUUGUUGAAGGAGAGACAUCAGUUCAGUCCUUGACUGGUAUUCUUUUUCCCAGAAUGGUGAAAUCCGGUGUGGAUGACAUGGUAACAACACUGAUGAGGUUUGGCGAUACAGACUAUUUUGAGGGAACUGGAUCAGUUCUGCUGCUGAAAAAGAUAUAAUUUGGAGAGUUAUCUAUCCACUGGGAGGCUAAUUGAUUUGCCUACAUCAUACAACAUUUAUGUGUCAGACACACCAAAGUCUUAAAGAAAAGCCCCUCACCACGGGACAUUACUUCUGGCAAGGCUACCUCCAAUGAUGGAUCUCCUAGAAUUGUGAGGAAGCUCUAAGUUCAGGUGGACAAAGACAGCUGGGUUGCUUUAUGAUGUCAGAUUCUCCUUUGAUGCUCUGAAGAAUGUGGACUGAAGAAUUAAAGGUUCUGUCCUAUUCUAGGUGUUUGAAGAUGCCAGUCUAGUUUUCUCUUCAUCCCAGGACCCAGUCUUCUCAUAAGAAAGAGUGUAUUAUUUUUCUGAACAGACUUUAUUUUACUAUUUUCUUAUUAAUUUUUAUUUUGGAUCACGGUCCUUAGACCUCCCCUCACCAGAAUCAUGAGCAAAAUUGCCCUGACUGAGAAUGAGCUUUCUAGCUUUUGAAAUAUGUUUGCUGUUCUUCUAGACAUUCUACUGGUAAGAUAUACUGUGGAAAUUCUUCUGUAGUGGAAUGGGGAAAAAUCAAAAGAUAUUUUCCAAAGCACAAGAGCUGUCCAUCAUUUCCCCAAUUUGUUGCAAACAGGUUUCCUGUGUGGAAUCAAUGAAGUGAUGGAUAUGAAAGUGUUUGGAAAGCUUUAAGAUGCUGUCCCAACUUCCAGAAGCUCCUCGCCCAGGCCUUUGUUACAAGGCCAAGGUGGUAUGGUUACCAUGUCCACCACACCACGUUUCACCCCUGUUGGAACAAGACUCCUAUGUGAAGGCAGAGCAGGCAUCCCUCAAGCAUCAGGAGAGAACCAUCCAACCGGUGCCCCAUCCCCGCCCUCGGACCGAGCCAGUGCCCUCGCCACAUUUCAAACACCCCAUGAUAGCCGUCCGGCCACCCUGUCCUCCUCCCAGCACGGUCACAAUACCGCUGCCCCAUCUCCACCACCAAAGUACAGUGAAUAAGGCACCCGCUAGUCCCAAGCACCAAGUGGUCACCUCGGCCCUGCCUGUGAGCAGGCCUGACGUCCCCUCUGCCAAGCCUGCCGUGACUUUAGCAUUCAGCAAACAGUGCCCGCCGCUCCGCCCUAUACAUCAGCCUGUGAUUCCACUGGAUGCAAACCAACACACAGAAGCUGCUCCUAACCCUGACCACUUCCCCAAGAUUAUCCCAAGCUCUGUCCCCCUGGCUGAGGAUCCGAGUCAUCUCAAACAUCUGUCGGCGCUGCCAUCAUCUGCUGAGGUGCCACCACGAGAGGUCCACAGGACCAUGUUCAUAGCGGUUCCCCAAGCGGGCCCUAACCACCCCAUCAGGGUCACGAGUGUGCCCGUGAAUCCCGGCCCACAGCCUUUGCCCAAGCCCAGGCGUCGCAUCAGGGCCACAAACGCGCUCUUAGGGUUUUUAAAACUAGAACCUAUGCUUCAUUCUGCUAGCUCAAUAUCCCUUGGUCCAAACCACUGGUCCAGAGAGACAACUGCAAAACCCUCGGGUCUGGAUAAUUGGACCCAACCAAAAAGAUCUUCAUCUUCACAUCCCAACCUCCUUUGCCCUUGGAAGACAGUAUCACUGCUGUACUGCAAUGAGUCCCCCCAAAAAUCAAUGGGGGAGCCGUUAUCACAUCUGAAUCAGAAAACCAGGGCUACCACUGCACCUGCUCCUGUUCAGCUACAGCAGGCUGGGGACAUGGCUGGCCCUAUGGCCCAUGGAUUACUUCAAAUGGAAAAAAAGCCCUGGGAAACAAGUUCAGUGAGAGCCAGCCAGGAUCCAGGGCUGAGACAACUUCCAAUUGACUUACAUUUCCAGGGCAAAACUCUGCAUGUCCCUAACCACCAGGUGGUACCUCCUCCCCAUCCAGUGGGUCCUUUACAACCUAUGGCCCAGGUCCCACUUCAAAUGGAACAAGAUCAUAGGAAGACGAUGCCAUUGAGACCGGAUAACCAGGUUCCCAAUCCCACAGGACAGGAUCACUGGACCAUCCCUCCUUUCCUGGGCAUGGAUGGCCAGAAAACAAUUCUUUUUCUCCCUCAGUACCAGGCCACACCACCUCCCAGCCCUAUCCAUCAGUCGGAGGACAUCCCAGGCUCCAUUGCUUAUACCUUGAAAACGCUGCCACCCAGAAUGCAGCCACAGGCCACAACUAUAACAGGUGCUAGUCAGAAUCUCAGAACAGUACCUUCAAUGGUGUCUUACAAGCACGACAUCAAUCAGCUGGGCGCCGUACCCCAAUUCACAACUUCCCUCAACCCUGACUACCAGGUUGGGAAAGUCAUAAAUCCCAAUGCCCAGCUGAUAUACCAACCAAAUGUAGAAGUAUGGGGAACAAUGACAAAGGGAAUGUAUCACCAGGAUAUGAGUCCCUUUGUGUGGGGUUACGGGGCAAUCCCUCAACCCCAGAACACAAAUAAGACGAUUCCACCUCACUUGGACCACUGGGGCACACCUCUCCAACCUGAAUUUCAGACUAAGACUAUACCUGACCCAAAUGUUCGGUUUACACUUCAAUCAGAACCCAAGCAUCACGGAAGAAGGCAACUAGGAGUAGACCACCAGCCUGCCUUUCUAGCAUGCCGAAAUCAAGGACCAAUUAUGUAUCCCCCAGGUGUAGGUGGCUGGGAAAAAAUUCCACCUGGCCCUAACUAUCAGGAGACGGUGGUCAGCGCUCAUCCUGGGCCUAAGCAACAGCCAGCUAUGGCUAUACCAGAUCCUGCUGCACAAAUCUUGUUUCAGCCUGAACAAGGGCACAGGGGACCAACAAUGCCAAAAAUAAAGAUCCAGACCCCAGAUCUUAAUUUAGUAUCUUCACUGGGCUUAGAUACCCAAAACCCAAAUCUUUGUGUCUCUGAACACCAAGCCAGGCUUGUAGUCAAUAAUCCUCACCAGCCUAAGGAGAUGAUGAAGGAUGCCAAGGUCCAGGUCUCCUUUCAAGAAUUCAAACGAUGUGAAAUACCACCAGUGGGAACCCACCAGCAGACCCCAAAUCCCCCUGAUCACGUCCAUGGGACAACAGUUCCUCUGAACAAUGAUGAGAAGGUAGCGUGUUUUCCUGCCUCUGACCAUUGCAUCCUAUCACCACCUGGCCCUGCCUAUCAGGCUGAGGCUGUUCCAGAGCCUAAUGACCAGGAUGCAUGGCAACAAAAGCUAGAACACAAUGAAACAAUACAGUCAGCAAUGGAGCAGGAAGCCAAGAAUUCCACUGGCAAAGACCAUGGAGCAACACUUGCUCCCUUGAACAAAGAUCAACAAGAAACUAACUGUGAGCUUGAUCACCAGGACACAUCUCGUCUUAAAUCAGACUGUCAAACUGAGGAUACACAAGACCCUAGAGACCAGGAUUCAAUUCAACCAGAACAACACUGGCAAAAAGAACAACCUGGAACAGAUCAGCAGAUCACAAAUCCUCCUGCCCAAGAUUCCACAGAAAAAACUCUGAUUAGGAGCACAGAGAACCAGGAAACAAUUCUCUCAGGCACUGGCCACCCUAGUCCUGACUUUAGGGCUAUAGAUUCAGCAAGCCCUGGCACUAGGGAAUCAGGUAAAACAGAACAGGAAAACAAGGAAAGACCACCACUUGGAAGGGAAUGCAAAGCCACAACUCUUCUAACCCCCGAUUUGGAGGCAACGGUACCUCCCCUGGGCUCUGACGCCCAGGAUAAAACUCUGCUUGACCCUGAAAACCAUGGCUCCCUUGCACCCAGAGCUGAGCCGGAUGUGGAUGCAUCAGGGCCUGUCGCAUCAGAACAAGUUCUCCGGGAAACACUGAAAACAGAUCCACAGGCCACAGGUACAACCAUCUGUGAUCACCAGAUAACACCACCUAUAGUGGGAGCCGACUGUCAGGCCCCCUGUCCUCCCACCACUGGAGCUCACAACCCAAUUCAGAAAGAACUGGAAGAGUGGGAAAGGUCAGAAGAAAUCAGUUCCCAGGAUUCUAUCCUUUUAGAAGUGGGUGUCAUGCAUAUACCUAAAUUAGACUUAGAUCUCCAAGACACAACUCCAUGUCCCCCCGUCUAUGGUCCUGAUGAUCAGGCUACAGAUAGAAUAGAUCCCAUUGCCCCAACAUGGGUUCAGACAGAACAGAAGUCCAGAGAAGUAUCAUCAAUAGCAAUAGAUCAGCAGGCCACGACAGUAACAGGCCAGACUCAGGAGGCAGUCACAUGCCCCCCAGACUUGGAAUCCCAGGACACAGCUCAAUGUGGUCCUAAAUGCCAGAGCCCACUUCCGUGCAGCCUUGACAAGCGGGAGAAGAAUAUAGCCUCUCCCAAUGACUUGUUCUCACUUCAGCCCCCAACCAAUCAAUGCACAGUAGUGUCCCAGGAAACAGACCAGCAGACCACAAUUCUAAUGGACUUGGGAUUCAGGACAUCACCUCCGUUGCUGAUACACCCCCAGGACCCAAUUCUGCUUGAUUCUACCUACCAGACCACACCUUCCUCUGGCCCUGCAGAAGCUUUCUCAGAUCCUGAUCUUCAGAACAUACCUCCACCAGAUCCUGAGUGCUUAGCACAAUGGUCCCCGAGGCAAGAGCGCCAAGUCUCACCCCUAUCCAGUGUUGACCACCAAGUCACCCUUCUGCCCAAUUCAACAAACCAGGCUGAGGCUAUAUUUGAGUCUGUCAAACCCCAGGUCACAAUGUCAACACAGUUAUGUAAUCAGGAUAAAGCUUUAAUAAGCUUCAUUAAACCCAAGACUGUGCUGCCCUCAGGUCCCGGGCUGCUGACUAAACGUCUAAGGGGUCGUGGCCCUCAGGUUGAAAAAUUUGACCCCCAAGUUCAGAUUCACUCAAGACCACAAUACCAGACUCAACCAGUGCUAAACAAAAAGUCUUCUUGUUUAUAUUAUAUCAAGCCAUACACUGUGGAGGGAGGAAUCAUCCCCAACAGAAUAGUUCAGCUCAUCAUCGAUUCUAUCCCUCAGGAAAAAAUAAAAAAUGAUGUCUAUAAACAAAUUCUCCUGCGAAAGAGGAGGAAAUUUUCUCCUCAUGGUUCUAAUGGAUACAGUUCAUCUUACUAUCCUAUCUGUUUGCUUUGUGCCUCCUGGAUUCCAAAUGGCUGUCCCCAUGAGGGAAUGAAAUACCCAUUUGAAGCACAGUUACUGGCCAUACCUACGCCUAUGCCUGGUUUUGAAGAACUCGGGGUGAGAUUUGUGCUCCAAGUGCCCCAGACAACAGAAAGCUCCCCUCUCGAGUUUCCUUAUUCCCGGCAUGGUCUGCAAAGGCACCCUCAUGGCCCACAAAUCUUUUCAACAUCAUCCUACUCUGAUCCUGGGCUCUCUAGAUCUUCCAGACCAAAGUGGCUACACUUCAUUCUUGACAAGGCUCAUCAGCAAGAGGGGAGAAACCAAGAAGCAGAAUUCAUAGGAGAAAUGCCCUUGAAGAGGCACAGCCUCAGAGAAGAGGACACUGGGGAUGGGAGGACAUUUUUUAAAUCUCUGUUGGAAAGAUUUCAGUGGAGGCUGAGAGAUUAAAUUACUAUAUAUUCUAUUUGGAAAGAAUUUAUAUGUUUGAAAUAUGUCUUGAUUUCAUAUCUUGCACAUGUAAUUUUCU
ensembl:lncRNA